rnacentral:rRNA from 1 species
AGGAUAAACGCUGGCGGCGUGCCUAACACAUGCAAGUCGAACGCGCUUUGUCUCGCCGCAAGGUGAGGGGGAGCGAGUGGCGGACGGGUGAGGAACACAUGGGUACCUCCCUUGAAGUGAGGGAUACCGGCGAGAAAUCGCCGACAAUACCGCAUAGGCUUCAUGCUUGAGAGAGCAAGAAGCAAAGUCUCGCGCAAGCGAGACGCUUUGAGAUGGGCCUGUGGCCGAUUAGCUGGCUGAUGGGGUAAUGGCUCACCAGGGCGAUGAUCGGUAGCUGGUCUGAGAGGACGAUCAGCCACACUGGGAUUGAGAACGGCCCAGACUCCUACGGGGGGCAGCAGUGAGGAAUUUUCCGCAAUGGGCGCAAGCCUGACGGAGCAACGCCGCGUGCAGGACGACGGCCUUCGGGUUGUAAACUGUCUUUUCGUGGGGACGAGCGAAGGACGGUACCCAGGAACUCGAGCCCCGGCUAACUACGCG